rnacentral:snoRNA from 1 species
CUCCAAAGUGUUGAGUUCAGUUCAAGGUGACUUCCUUGUUCUGUUAAUUAAACUUUGGAACAUUGAAACAGGCUAGGAGAAAUGACUGGAUAGAAAAUUUUAUUCUAUUCAUUUAUCUCCCAGCCUACAAAA